CAAACAGAGCCAUAGCCAUGAACCUGAUUCUCGGAAAAACAUCGUGCUCUAUAACUGCCAAUUCAAAUUGUUUAAUCUAAUCAGAUGUCAUUUCUGGUUUCAUUGUCACAGCGAACUUUUUGUUUACCUUUAUCUUGUUUACUAAAACCUACUUGACUAAUCGGCCUAUUUCAUUGUAUUUGGUUCAUUCCAAUUCUCAUCAAUAGAUAAUGAUUUAAUGUUUGUUAUUGCCAUUAUAUUCACUCAUCCAAUGCUCUUUCCAUACAAUUUCAAUUUAUGGCAAUUUCAUAUGGAAUUCUUGAGCUAUGAGAUUUGGAGUGUGUCCAGAUUAAUCUGAUGUUGACAAUUGACGUAAAUUACUUAAUAGACAGACGUUCAUUUUAAAAUCUUCACUCAUAUGCCAGUUACAGUUAAAGAAUCACCAAGUUGAGAUAAUAUUGUUAUACCGUUCAGAUUGUUUUCAAUGGGAAUGAAACAUUUUCAAAUGAGAAACGGUUGCAACUAACCGUCAACCAACAAGUAUCUUUAUCUGUAUAAUUAUCAAUUCAUCGUGAAUUAAUCAAACUAGGCUAAAAAUAACGGUUUUACUCGCCAUAUGAAUCAACGGAAUUGUUUUAAUAGUAAUCAAUGAAGAUAAUUCAUGGUUCUGGUGAAGGUUAAUGCAACAAUUAUUGAUAUAUUAAUCGACUAAACUGAUGACCAGCCAUGAAAUGAUUGAGUUAUUGGAGCC